AUUGAACGCUGGCGGCAGGCCUAACACAUGCAAGUCGAGCGGUAGAGAGAAGCUUGCUUCUCUUGAGAGCGGCGGACGGGUGAGUAAUGCCUAGGAAUCUGCCUGGUAGUGGGGGAUAACGUUCGGUAACGGACGCUAAUACCGCAUACGUCCUACGGGAGAAAGCAGGGGACCUUCGGGCCUUGCGCUAUCAGAUGUGCCUAGGUCGGAUUAGCUAGUUGGUGGGGUAAUGGCUCACCAAGGCGACGAUCCGUAACUGAUCUGAGAGGAUGAUCAGUCACACUGGAACUGAGACACGGUCCAGACUCCUACGGGAGGCAGCAGUAGGGAAUCUUCGGCAAUGGGCGAAAGCCUGAUGGAGCCACGCCGCGUGUGUGAUGAAGGUCUUCGGAUCGUAAAGCUCUUUUAGUUGGGAAGAAGAGCAGUAUAUUAAUACAUUGCUGUUUUGACGGUACCUACAGAGUAAGCACCGGCUAACUCUGUG
rnacentral:rRNA from 1 species